CUGACGGCGAGACGUAGCCGACCCACGCCACCAGCAUUUUGUAACAGACACUUGACAGCGUCCGUCAAGUUAGCAUCCCGUCUGCUUUUGUAUUUUAGGAUACAACUGUGUGCAGAAACAUGGCCCAUCUCCGUCACCCUAUCGUUCAAGUUUGCCGGUGAUGCAGCCCCUGCUUGGAGACCCACCCUCCAUUUAUUCAAGACCUACAGAAAGGAGCAGGAGUGACUGCAUUAUGAACUACGAAGGCGAAGUUGCCCAAGCAAUAUAAGUAUCCUUUUUGUCAUUUCUUUACUGGUUUUCAAUAAUUUUUCUGAAUCUUUCUGCUCUUGUUUGCAACUCUAGUAAUCACAGUCCUUUUUGUUUAUUGUUUUGAACUUGAUGUGUUAUUUUUGGUCUCUCAAAAUAUUUUGUGCUACAUUUAAAGUCAUAUAAUUAUAGGUUAUGGAGUCCUUUAGCAAUUUUUUGACAGUGGAUUCAUUUACAUAUUGAGAAGUCUUUUAUUAAUUUGCUCUGAGAUCGAUAGGUAGGAAUUCAGGGUCUUCUCAUUUCCAGUCUUUUUGUAGGUAUGAUAAAUAGAGCUAUUGCAAAUCGUGAUUUAGACCUUAUUAGAUAUUCAAAUUUAAUUCAUGGCAAAUCAUGCCUAUUUCAAAUCUGGUCCCUCAUCAGGGUCAUACCUGGUGAAAUAUGCCGAAACCUAUAAAAUGCAAGUUUGAGACGUUAAAUAAUAAACUGUUUUCCAUGGAUCAGAAAUGGUCAUACUAAGUAUUAGUGGAGUCUCUCUUGAGAUUUUCGUAAUCUUUGGAACUCUUUUGGUACACGAAGAGUAUGAGCAUUACAAAAUGGGCAGACAUACUGUCAUGAAAAAUGUGAAAGAAAUAGUAUGUAACUUGAGGAAGAAAUGGCUGAAACUUGACUCGUUUGUAAAUGAUUAGGAUGUUCUGAGGGUUUGUAAAACAGGACUGUAGAUUUUUAGGCAAUAGAGUAAGAGAACAAAGUGAAAUAAUGUUUUGUGUUAGAUAUUUAGAUUUAAAUCAUAUAGAGUUUGAGACAUUAAAUAAUACUCUUUUCCAUGGAUCAGAAAUUAGUCAUACUAAGUAUUAUUGGAGGCAUUGAAAUUUUCAUAAUCUUUAGAACUUUUGGUAUUGAGUGUAUGAGUAUUGUCAUCUUGUCAUGUAAUUAGAUUUUAUUAAUAUUAUUAGUUAAAUAUUGAAUGUUAAAUGAUAAAACAUUUUGUUCCAGCGCGGUAGGGGCAUCUGAGGCCUCCGUAGGCUCCCGUCGCCUCAUACGAAGAUCCGAAGUCUCCGAAGUCUCGGGAAACUUGGCAACUAUGCUGCUGAAGUCUUGGGCGGCUUCGAACAAGCCAUGGACUGGACCUGGCGGGUUAGAGCAAAUACUACUACGGAAAUUUUCUGGUCGGGAUUUGACAAAUCCUGGUAAUCUCCUAGAAAAGUAGUUUGAGAUAAGUAGUAUUGCUAGGAAAAAUACAAAUUACUAAGAGUUUGGUAUAUUAGUCUGUUAGCUUUGUAGGGUGUGUGAGUGACUUUUCUCUUCAGCCCCCUCCACUCUGGGUGGCUUAGUUUUUUAUUUUUUUUUUCUCUCCAAAUGAAUUUUCUUAUGGGUAAUUUUUUUAUU